rnacentral:lncRNA from 10 species
GACUCCGUCUAGCCCCGCUCCGCGAGAAGAGGCUGAACUGCCCCAUCUGCUUCUAAUUUCUUUCUUUCUUUCUUUCUUUCUUUUUUUCCCCUCUUUUCCUUUUCUUCUUUUAAAUAUACGUUUGGAAAUUUGCCGGGCGUGGUGGCGGGCGCCUGUAAUCCCAGCUACUCGGGAGGCUGAGGCAGGAGAAUCGCUUGAAUCCGGGAGACGGAGGUUGCAGUGAGCCGAGAACGCGCCACUACACUCCAGCCUGGACGACGAGAGUGAUACUCCGUCUCAGUCAAUCAAUCAAUCAAUCAAUCGUUUGAUUUUCGUUUUAUGCUUUUACUUCCAAAUUUAUAUUUAUUGCAAAAAAUGUGGAAUAUAACAAAGUGUAAAGGCCUUCUGUCUUGAGCUCGUAUUACUGCUGUUCACUGAUGUAUUGUAAAAGCGUAAAACCGGACGUGACCCAAAUGUCUAUCAAAGGAGACUGAUGAGAGAAAUAAACGGAUUUGUUCACACAACGGCUUCUACAGCAAAGAAACAGAAGGUAGCUCCAAGUGCUCUGAAAUGGAAAGACCAGGCCAAAGUCAGCCAAUUGGAUCAAACCAAAUGGAAUGGAGUGUCCAGAAGUAGAAAUUUUGCUGCUACAGGGUGUGUGCAA